AUUGAACGCUGGCGGCAGGCCUAACACAUGCAAGUCGAGCGAGCGGCGGACGGGUGAGUAAUGUAUGGGGACUGCCCGAUAGAGGGGGAGAAAUACUGGAAACGGUAGCUAAUACCGCAUACUAUCGGAUAACCCAUAUGGGAUUAGAUAGUAGGUGAGGUAAUGGCUCACCUAGGCGACGAUCCCUAGCUGGGCUGAGAGGAUGAUCAGCCACACGGGGACUGAGACACGGCCCAGACGCCUACGGAGGCAGCAGUGGGGAAUAUUGCACAAUGGGCGCAAGCCUGAUGCAGCCAUGCCGCGUGUAUGAAGAAGGCCCUAGGGUUGUAAAGUACUUUCAGUCGGGAGGCGUUACCGGCAGAAGAAGCACCGGCUAACUACGUGCCAGCAGCCGCGGUAAUUC
rnacentral:rRNA from 1 species